GACGAACGCUGGCGGCGUGCCUAAUACAUGCAAGUCGAACGCACAGUUUAUAGCGUAGCUUGCUCCACCAUACGCUGUGAGUUGCGAACGGGUGAGUGACUCGGAGGUAACGUGCCUGGUAGCUGGGGAUAACUAUUGGAAACGAUAGCUAAUAGCGCAUAAUAUUAAGUAUUACAUGAUAAUGGAUUGAAAGGUGCAAUUGCACCACUACCAGAUAGACCUGCGUUGUAUUAGCUAGUAGGUGAGUGAACGGCUAACCUAGGCGACGAUACAUAGCCGCCCUGCGAGGGUGAUAGGCCAAGCUGGGCCUGGGACAUGGCCCAGCACACUGGGGGAGGCAGCCGUAGGGAAUCCUCGGCAAUGGAAGAAAGUCUGACCGAGCAACGACGCGUGAGUGACGAAGGCUUCAGGAUCGUAAAGCUCUGUUGUACGCGAAGAACGGGUGUGAGAGUGGCACGUUAAGAUUGUGACGGUACCUUACGAGAAAGCCCCGGCUAACUCCGUG
rnacentral:rRNA from 1 species